rnacentral:rRNA from 1 species
CAGCAGCCGCGGUAAUACGUAGGUGGCAAGCGUUGUCCGGAAUUACUGGGCGUAAAGCGUGCGCAGGCGGUUGUGUAAGACAGGUGUGAAAUCCCCGGGCUUAACCUGGGAACUGCGCUUGUGACUGCACAGCUAGAGUAUGGCAGAGGGGGGUGGAAUUCCACGUGUAGCAGUGAAAUGCGUAGAGAUGUGGAGGAACACCGAUGGCGAAGGCAGCCCCCUGGGCCAAUACUGACGCUCAUGCACGAAAGCGUGGGGAGCAAACAGGAUUAGAUACCCGUGUAGUCCCUGUCUCUUAUAC